CAAGAGCCCCGAAAGGGCCUUCGAAC
rnacentral:rRNA from 1 species